rnacentral:lncRNA from 1 species
UAUCAUUUGCCUAGUGAACGAAGGGGCUCAAAAUCAACGGCUGAAAAUAAAAAUCUUACAAAAUGUAAUAAUAUGACAUUAAAAUUUUAAAUCAAAAAUAUUGAUCUUGUUUUAUAUAGUAUAAAGAAUUUUCUAUCAAAAUUUCACGUGAUUUGGAUAUUUAUACAUCGUUAAACUUGCAAACGGCUCACUACGGCCAAUGAAAUUUGUUGAUUUUGAGCCCAUUCGAUCACUAGGCAAAUGAUAUUGAAAAAUAAUAAAAUUUAUUUUCUAAGUACUCCAAAUACUCUAGAUCAAGUAUAACGAAGCCGAUCGACGAUUCGAAAGUCGCAACAUCGAAAACGAGCUGAAAGCACGAAAGGCUCCGUACUUCCGAUAGCAUAGUAGCCUCACUCCCUUUUUAUUUACCGAAAAGUUAUUCAGUAAUUAGUAUCAAGAUUAUAUAUUAAUGUCAAGAUUAAAGAGUUUGUUCUCAUCAAGAUUUCAUAUAUUCUAGGCUGCACUGCUGUUGAGUCAUCCAUCUUCUUGUAAAUUCCACAUUCCUACACAUAGUGGACUUCUGCAUCAUCUAGCAGCACUCACUUUCUAGAGUAGUUGGGAAGUUAAUUUUCAAAAGAAAGGGCUUCAAAUAGAGGUCAGCUUCCUGGGUUAUACCCAUAGUUAGUUAAUUCGGACUCGGCAAAAAUUCGGUACGGAUAUAAUUCGGAUAAAAUUCGUUUUUUAACUUUUAAAUUCUUUGAAAAAUACGGCUAAAAAACGGAUGUGGUAAUUAUUCGGAUACGUAAU